GAACCAUUGGUGUAGUGGUAGCAUAUCACCCUUCCAAGGUGGCGGCUCGGGUUCGAACCCCGGAUGGUUCA
rfam:Catenaria anguillulae PL171 BCR44scaffold_11, whole genome shotgun sequence.